rnacentral:rRNA from 1 species
UGCCAGACUCCUACGGGGGGCAGCAGUGAGGAAUAUUGGUCAAUGGGCGCGAGCCUGAACCAGCCAAGUCGCGUGAGGGAAGACGGUCCUAUGGAUUGUAAACCUCUUUUGUCGGGGAGCAAAAGACGCCACGUGUGGCGUUCCGAGAGUACCCGAAGAAAAAGCAUCGGCUAACUCCGUGCCAGCAGCCGCGGUAAUACGGAGGAUGCGAGCGUUAUCCGGAUUUAUUGGGUUUAAAGGGUGCGCAGGCGGAUUUUUAAGUCAGCGGUAAAAUCGUGGGGCUCAACCCCAUCCAGCCGUUGAAACUGGGGAUCUAGAGUGUGCGAGAGGUAUGCGGAAUGCGUGGUGUAGCGGUGAAAUGCAUAGAUAUCACGCAGAACCCCGAUUGCGAAGGCAGCAUACCGGUGCACAACUGACGCUCAGGCACGAAAGCGUGGGUAUCGAACAGGAUUAGAUACCCCCGUA